GCAUGCAAGUCGAGGGGGCCUUCGGGCCCCGGCAGUAAUGGGUAGUAACGCGUAGGAACAUACCCCAGAGACAGGGAUAACCGUAGGAAACUACGGCUAAUACCUGAUAGUCUCGCAAGAGUAAAGUUUUUUCGCUCUGGGAGUGUCCUGCGUCGCAUCAGCUUGUUGGUAAGGUAACGGCUUACCAAGGCUACGACGCGUAGGGGGGCUGAGAGGCUGAUCCCCACCAAUGGAACUGAAACACGGUCCAUACUCCUACGGGAGGCUGCAGUCGAGAAUCGUCCGCAAUGCUCGAAAGAGUGACGGCGCGACGUCGCGUGGUGGAUGAAGCGCUUCGGCGUGUAAACACCUUUUCUGAAGGAAGAAGUUUAUUGACAUUACUUCAGGUAAUAAGGGGCUCCCAAAUUCGUGCCAGCAGGAGCGGUAACACGAAUGCCCCAAGCGUUAUCCGGAAUUACUGGGCGUAAAGGGUCCGCAGGCGGCCUAAUUAGUCUGGCGUUAAAUCACGAGGCUUAACCUCGUGGCUGCGUCAGAAACGGUUAGGCUUGAGGAUGUGAGAGGUGAGUGGAACCGACGGUGUAGGGGUGAAAUCCGUUGAUAUCGUCGGGAACACCGAAAGCGAAGGCAACUCACUGGCACAUUCCUGACGCUCAUGGACGACAGCUAAGGUAGCGAACGGGAUUAGAUACCCCGGUAGUCUUAGCCGUAAACGCUGUCCACUAGCUUUGGGGAGUAUCGACCCUCUCCGAGGCGAAGCUAACGCGUUAAGUGGACCGCCUGG
rnacentral:rRNA from 1 species